rnacentral:rRNA from 1 species
UACGGAGGGGGCUAGCGUUGUUCGGAAUUACUGGGCGUAAAGCGCGCGUAGGCGGCUUUGUAAGUUAGAGGUGAAAGCCCGGAGCUCAACUCCGGAACUGCCUUUAAGACUGCAUCGCUAGAAUUGUGGAGAGGUAAGUGGAAUUCCGAGUGUAGAGGUGAAAUUCGUAGAUAUUACGGAAGAACACCAGUGCGAAGGCGACUUACUGGACACAUAUUGACGCUGAGGUGCGAAAGCGUGGGGAGCAAACAGG